UGGGGAAUAUUGGACAAUGGGGGCAACCCUGAUCCAGCAAUGCCGCGUGUGUGAAGAAGGCCUUAGGGUUGUAAAGCACUUUAGGUUGGGAAGAAGGUAUGGAGUUUAAGAGAUACUAUACUUGACGGUACCAACAGAAUAAGCACCGGCUAACUCUGUGCCAGCAGCCGCGGUAAUACAGAGGGUGCGAGCGUUAAUCGGAUUUACUGGGCGUAAAGGGCGCGUAGGUGGUUAUAUAAGUGAGAGGUGAAAUCCCCGGGCUCAACCUGGGAACUGCCUCUUAUACUGUAUAGCUUGAGUACAAUAGAGGGUAGUGGAAUUUCCGGUGUAGCGGUGAAAUGCGUAGAUAUCGGAAGGAACACCAGUGGCGAAGGCGGCUACCUGGAUUGAUACUGACACUGAGGCGCGAGAGCGUGGGGAGCAAACAGG
rnacentral:rRNA from 1 species